rnacentral:rRNA from 1 species
UACGGAAGGGGCUAGCGUUCUUAGGAAUUACUGGGCGUAAAGAGCGCGUAGGCGGCUUACCAAGUUGGGGGUGAAAUCCCGGAUCUCAACUCCGGAACUGCCUUCAAAACUGGUAGGCUCGAGUCCGGAAGAGGGGCGUGGAAUUCCCAGUGUAGAGGUUAAAUUCGUAGAUAUUGGGAAGUACACCGGUGGCGAAGGCGGCGCCCUGGUCCGGUACUGACGCUGAGGCGCGAAAGCGUGGGGAGCAAGCAGG